rnacentral:rRNA from 1 species
AUGAAUGGAUACUUUGAGAUAGAACAAGAAAAAGCAAAUUUGAUUAAUGCUACUUCUAUUAGUUUGGAACAAUUGGAAAAGUCUAAAAACGAAACCCUUUAUUUUGGAAAACAAAGGGCAAUGAACCAGGUCCGACAACGGGUUUUCCAACAGGCCGUACAAGGAGCUCUAGGAACUCUAAAUAGUUGUUUGAAUACCGAGUUACAUUUAUGUAUGAUUUGUGCUAAUAUUGGCAUUCUCAGGUCCCUGGAAUGGAAGAGAUAA